rnacentral:rRNA from 1 species
CCUACGGGUGGCAGCAGUGGGGAAUAUUGGUCAAUGGGCGCAAGCCUGACCCAGCAACGUCGCGUGAAGGAAGAAGGCUUUCGGGUUGUAAACUUCUUUUCUCAGGGACGAAGAAAGUGACGGUACCUGAGGAAUAAGCCUCGGCUAACUACGUGCCAGCAGCCGCUGUAAUACGUAGGUGGCAAGCGUUAUCCGGAUUUACUGGGUGUAAAGGGCGUGUAGGCGGGGAAGCAAGUCAGAUGUGAAAACCACGGGCUCAACCUGUGGCCUGCAUUUGAAACUGUUUUUCUUGAGUACUGGGGAGGCAGACGGAAUUCCUAGUGUAGCGGUGAAAUGCGUAGAUAUUAGGAGGAACACCAGUGGCGAAGGCGGUCUGCUGGACAGCAACUGACGCUGAGGCGCGAAAGCGUGGGGAGCAAACAGGAUUAGAUACCCGAGUAGUC